UACCACAACAUCCCGAAGCUAACAGUUUUCUUCAACAAACACUUAAUGCUACGGUACGGGGGCAUUAUGCUUUUAAAUGGCUGCCUUACUGCUUUAAUUGACAACUGUUGCUCCGUUUCAUCGUCGUCGACGUCAACUUUGUACUCCCUUUUGUCCGAUUUGAGGGUACAACCUGGAGAGAGAAGCACGUAGGGAACCUGUAACGAAUGGUUACUCUGACGGACGUGCGACAGAGCCACUGGAGGACGGAAAUGUUCGGUGACGCUGCAAAGGGUUGAACCAAUAGGAAUGGACGAGAGGGCGGGACAAACGACUGAGACUUCUUCUGUGAAUGAACACUAGAGGGAGCUAUAGUGAUGUGGAUUGAGGUGGCGACAGCGCUCUGCAGUACUGUUGGAAAGACCAACAAGAAGACCAGUGCCAUUAAGAAGUUGAAUGUGUCGCAACUGUCUCUUGUUGAGCCUUGGACCCACCAGUUGAGAAUCGCUAUUUUUGAGUCUCAACUGCUUCAUUUAUGUGUAUUAUUGUUAUUAUUAUUAUUUUUGCCUAGAGUGAAUGUUUUUGCUCCAGAACUUUCACAAGUGAGCGCAAGCUUGUCAGGUGAUUGUCAGGAAAAUGUUUUCUUCUAUUAGAUGACGUCUGAUUUAAAUGUUUAGCAAGUGAAUUCACUCUGAAAUUGACCAUUGGUUCGUAAAAAAAAAAAAAAAACGGGCGCGGCGCCGCUGGCGUGUAACAACUUGCACAUUAAACCAAAUUCAUCCUAACUUUUAAUACGCGAGCAAACGGGCGACAGCUGGGAAUGGUGUUGGCGUGACGGUGGAGUGGGUGUCAGGCCGCUGGUUAAAUAAACAUGUUAGAUAAACCAGCGUCUUUAUUUAGACAGUCUGUGAAACAGUCGGCAUUGUAGAACGUAUUUUAUAGCAGGAUUAGUGAGGGAUAAACAGUUUGUCCGAGUUUAUUUCUUGUUUGGGUUUCUUCUCUAAAUCAAGAAAACAAUGUCAAGUGUCCAACAGCUGAUUUGUUGUUAUUUGGAUUGAAUGAAUAUCGGAUUGCAUGAUUGAGCGUAAUAAAGCUGCAGGGAAGUGACAGUGAAGCUCUUUGGAGAAGUCUUUGGACA